rnacentral:lncRNA from 1 species
GAGCAAACCAUGAAGAGUCUCUGGUAUUUUCAACAAUAUCAUCACAGAGGAACUGUAUUGAUUUCCUUCCACAGUGAGUCUCUGAGACCUAGUUUUGGCAGAAGGAAGUACCAGAGGGAGCUGAGCUGUUGAACAUUAUGUGCGAUCAUGUAAUAACUGCAAUCGGAAGGGAAACACUCAGAGUCCUGGAGAAAGAGAAAUUCGCAUUUGUGGACGCCUGCUGGGAGCUAGGCACUUUCGAAUAGUUCCUGUCACCUAACUUAAGUAUCAUUACUCAAGUACUAAUUAACUUAGAAUUUCAUAUUCAAAGGACAUCAUCAGCUCUCUUGUUAGAAGGGGUCCAGGCUGAACACCCUCUUUUCUCUCAAUGAUCCCAGCUAUGACACAGUUUUCUGAUCUUCAACAUCCUGGAGGCCCAAGACUAUUCAAAUAUGUCACAAAUAUCUCUAAUCACAUCUUGUGAUUAUGACUUGGAUAGAAGAUAAACAUUAUUUCCAUAAUGAUGAACAUAA